rnacentral:rRNA from 1 species
UACGUAGGGGGCUAGCGUUGUCCGGAAUCAUUGGGCGUAAAGAGCGUGUAGGCGGCCCGGUAAGUCCGCUGUGAAAGUCGGGGGCUCAACCCUCGGAUGCCGGUCGAUACUGCCGGACUAGAGUUCGGAAGAGGCGAGUGGAAUUCCCGGUGUAGCGGUGAAAUGCGCAGAUAUCAGGAGGAACACCGGCGGCGAAGGCGGCACUCUGGGCCGGUACUGACGCUGAGGAGCGAAAGCGUGGGUAGCAAACAGG